rnacentral:lncRNA from 1 species
UAACAGAUAGCUGGAUUAUAAACGAUUAUCCAAUCUUCAAAAUUUUAAUUUUACUAUCGAAUAUUUUAAUUUGUUUGAUUUGAAUCAGCCAAUAAUACUUUAACUUUAAAACUUAACAUAAUUAUACUUUAAUAAUUUUGUAGUUACAAAAAUUGUAUGAAACAAUAUUAUAAUUCAAUCUGUAGAGAUAAAUGAUACAUUCAAAACUGUAAUUAAAAGAUUAGAAAGUAAAAUUAAAAUUUUGAAAAGUUGAAAAGAAAAGUUAAAAUGGUCCGUAGUUCAGAUAAUUUCUAUACGCCUAUAUCUA